GCACAAGCGGUGGAGCAUGUGGUUAAUUCGAUGAUACGCGAGGAACCUUACCUGGGCUUAAAUGUAGAGUGCAUUUUUAGAGAUAGAAAUUCCCUUCGGGGCUUUCUGCAAGGUGCUGCAUGGUUGUCGUCAGCUCGUGCCGUGAGGUGUCGGGUUAAGUCCCAUAACGAGCGCAACCCUUAUCGUUAGUUGCCAUCUGGUAAUGCAGGGGACUCUAGCGAAACUGCCACCGUAAGGUGAGAGGAAGGUGGGGAUGACGUCAAAUCAGCACGGCCCUUAUGUCCAGGGCUACACACGUGUUACAAUGGUCGGUACAGAGGGCAGCUACCUGGUGACAGGAUGCUAAUCUCGAAAACCGGUCUCAGUUCGGAUCGAAGUCUGCAACUCGACUUCGUGAAGCUGGAUUCGCUAGUAAUCGCGCAUCAGCUAUGGCGCGGUGAAUACGUUCCCGGGCCUU
rnacentral:rRNA from 1 species